UGAUGUGUUUCUCCUUUCCUCUGUGCCAGUGUUACUCCGAGGGCUCUCCAUACACACACCCAAAGACUUCACACUUUCCUGUCUUCCUACCUGAAAGCAACUGCCCUUCUUAUUCUUAGGUGCCAAUCUGCGUUAUUCUGCUGCAGCUGCCACAACCAAGUACCAUAGGCUGGGAGUCUUUAACAACAGAAAUUUACUCACACUUCUGGAGGCUAGAUGUCCAAGAUCAAGGUGUUGGCAGGUUUGGUUUCUUCUGAGGCCUCUUUUCUUGGCUUGAAGACAGCUGCCCUCUCUCGGCCUCUUCCUGUCCCUCUGUGCACAGGUGCCCUGGGUGUCAAUCCAUGUGUUUAAAUUUCCUCUUCUUAAAAGGACAGGUUGGAUUAGAGCCUAACCCCGAAGACCCUGAUAUACCUGAGUCAUCUCUUUAAAGACCUCAUCUCCAAAUACAGUCACAUUCUGAGGUAUCGGGUUUAGGGCUUCAGCAGACACUGCCCCUCCUGAAGACACCAAGCUGCAGCUUCUUGUCCCAGCAUCGACACUCAACAAAACCGCUGAGGAAGGACCUCAAUUACCAAAAUGGAAAAUACCGCAGUCGCCCUCUGACUCCAGCUCCCAGUCUGACCUCUGUGACCCUUGCUCCCAGUCAGACACAGCAGAGAAAGCGAGAUAAGAUUCCUGCUCUCCUGGGACCAAUGAUAUUUUUGACCCAGAUGCCAACCAUGUGGUCACUCCCAGUCCCUAUUUAGCUCGCUUUUUCAAAAAAAUAAAAAAUAUUUUUAUUGAA